GACGAACGCUGGCGGCGUGCUUAAUACAUGCAAGUCGAACGGAAAGGCCCUGCUCUUGUGGGGUGCUCGAGUGGCGAACGGGUGAGUAUCACGUGAGUAACCUGCCCUUGUCUUUGUGAUAACUUCAGGAAACUGGGGCUAAUAUCGGAUAUGAGCUCCUGCUGCAUGUUGUUGUUUGGAAAGUUUCGGCGGUUGUGGAUGGUCUCGCGGCUUAUCAGCUUGUUUGUGUGGUAGUGGCUUACCAAGGCUUUGACGGGUAGCCUGCCUGAGAGGGUGACCGGCCUCAUGGGGACUGAGAUACGGCCCAGAAUCCUAUGGGAGGCAGCAGUGGGGAAUAUUGCACAAUGGGCGGAAGUCUGAUGCAGAAACGCCGCGUGCGGGAUGACGGCCUUCGGGUUGUAAACCGCUUUCGACUGUGACGAAGCGUGAGUGACGGUAAUGGGUAAAGAAGCAACGGCUAACUACGUG
rnacentral:rRNA from 1 species